AACGAAUAAGAGCUUGCUCUUAUAAGUUAGUGGCGCACGGGUGAGUAAUAUAUAGCUAAUCUGCCUCUUAGUAGAGGAUAACAGUCGGAAACGAUUGCUAAUACUCUAUACUUCUGCUUUACAUAAGUAAAGUAGAGAAAGUUUUUCGCUAAGAGAUGAGGCUAUACUGUAUCAGCUAGUUGGUAAGGUAACGGCUUACCAAGGCUAUGACGCAUAACUGGUCUGAGAGGAUGAUCAGUCACAUUGGAGCUGAGACACGGUCCAAACUCCUACGGGAGGCAGCAGUAGGGAAUAUUGCGCAAUGGGGGAAACCCUGACGCAGCAACGCCGCGUG
rnacentral:rRNA from 1 species